rnacentral:lncRNA from 1 species
AUGGUGCAUUACUCACUUGACCCAGAAAACUCCACAAGAUUGCACAAAUCCAAUCUUUGUGUUCACUUCAGGAAUACCAGUGAAACUGCCCAAGCCACCAAGGCUUUACCUAUACCAAAAGCUACCCAGUAUCUGAAAGAUGCCGCAAUAUAGAAGCAAUGUGUGCCAUGCUGCCUUACCAUGGUGGAGUUGACAGCAGUGCCCAGGCCAGACCGUGGGGGUAAUGCAGGGUCAGUGGCCCAAAAAGAGUGAUGAAUUAUUGCUGUCCCAAGAUGCAGAGAGUAAUGCUGACCUUAAGAAUUUGUAUGUAGAUUCUCUAGUCAUUGAGCACAUGAAGGCGAACAAAGCCCCCAAGAUGCCUAUCAAACUGAGAGAGCUCACGGUCAGAUGAGCCUCUUGACAUUCUGAGAUGACCCUUCCUGAAAAAGAACAAAUUGUUCCUAAACUGGAAGAGGAGGUAGCACAGAAGAAAAAGAUAUGCCAAAAGAAACCAAAGAAACAAAAAGUUAUGGCUCAGGA